rnacentral:lncRNA from 1 species
AGCAAGUAUGGGUUUGUCAGCUGAGGAGAAUCACCAGUUAAGCUAAGUACAGGACACUUUCAAGGAGCACUCAAUCUAUGCAAAAGAAAAUGGGAGAGGAUCAAAAUAUUCAAAUCAAUGGUCUGAACCUGCAUGUUUUCCAGAGUUCAUUUUGAUAGCUGAUGAAACUGUAAUAUUCAAUGCAGUUUUCUAAUGAUGGAUGUAGGAGAAAUAAGGAGACAAAAGCAUUCUUUUAAGCUGCUCGUACACAAUGUGAAGCGGAAGAACUCUAUAUGCCCGGUAAGUUAGUGGUCUCUUUUGGAAAACUUUAAUCAAUGAUUUCUACUCCCCAUUAGAAUUUGCUCUCUGCAUUUUUU